rnacentral:lncRNA from 1 species
AUUUAAAAUUAUAUAUUGUAUCAAGAUAACCUUUGGGUAAGAAAACUCCUCAUUCCAAGAUUAUGAAAAUAUUCAUCUGUGUUUUCACCCAGUACAUUUCUGGCUUUGUUUGAUGCAUCUGUAUGUCGAUAAUAAGGAAUCAGAAGAAUUUUCUGUAAAUGGGAAUCGGCAAGUGUGUUAGAGGUAGCUCCCUAGAAGGACCAGAAUGGUAGAAGGAGAACCAUCACUUCUUGGCAGAGCAGGACACCUGGCACAGUGUCAGGCUUUGUACUUAGAUCCAACGUAUUUCCCCGCGCUAGAUUCACUUAGCAACCAGUGUGUUGGAUGGCAAGCUGGUGGGCUUUGCCCUCUUGAUAGUGAAUGCUGUCUCUGCCACCUACUAGGUGUGCGAUCUUAGGUUCUCCAAGGAAGCGCUGCUAUCAGGACAGUCAGACUCAGAGGCCACCUGUUGACCUCCUUUGAUGAUGGAUGGGAUUGCUACUUGCAAUGUGAUGGACACUCCAGGAAUCUCCCUUCUGAUCCGCCUCAUUCGGGAUACUGCUACUGCUGGCUUCCGCAGUUAGGUCAGGGUUGUGCUCUACCUAACAAGCCUUCCUUCAUCCUCUUUUUUUCCUCUAAAAACAUUCUUAAUGUGUUAGUACCAUGAUUUUUAUUUUCUUGCAAGGGAUGUCUUGGUGGUGGAUUAGGAGGUCUGUUUGGCCUUAAGUCUCAACCACA